CACCUCUUACCAUUCCGAACAGAGAAGUUAAGCCCGUUUGCGCCGAUGAUACUACAUCCGUGGGAAAGUAGGUCGCCGCCUUCU
rnacentral:rRNA from 1 species